rnacentral:rRNA from 1 species
ACAGCAGCCGCCGCGGUAAUACGAAGGGUGCAAGCGUUACUCGGAAUUACUGGGCGUAAAGCGUGCGUAGGUGGUGGUUUAAGUCCGUUGUGAAAGCCCUGGGCUCAACCUGGGAAUUGCAGUGGAUACUGGGUCACUAGAGUGUGGUAGAGGAUAGUGGAAUUUCCGGUGUAGCAGUGAAAUGCGUAGAGAUCGGAAGGAACAUCUGUGGCGAAGGCGACUAUCUGGGCCAACACUGACACUGAGGCACGAAAGCGUGGGGAGCAAACAGGAUUAGAGACCCGAGUAGUCCCUGUCUCUUAUAC